AAGCGAAACCGCGAAUGGCUCAUUAAAUCAGUUAUGACUCAAUGGGUCGUACCCACUUACUUGGAUACCUGUGGUAAUUCUAGAGCUAAUACAUGCAGCAGAGCUCCGACCUUUUGGGACGAGCGCUUUUAUUAGACAAUGCCAGCCGGGCCGCGUCCGUUCUUAUGGUGACUCUGGAUAACCUUGGGCCGAUCGCACGGGCUCGUCCCGGCGACGCAUCUUUCAAGUGUCUGCCUUAUCAACUGUCGACGGUUGGCUAAAUGCCUACCGUGGUUGUAACGGGUGACGGGGAAUCAGGGUUCGAUUCCGGAGAGGGAGCCUGAGAAACGGCUACCAGUUCUAAGGAAGGCAGCAGGCGCGCAAAUUAUCCAAUCGGCGACUGCGGAGAUAGUGACGAAAAAUAACGAUACGGGACUCUUUUGAGACCCCGUAAUUGGAAUGAGAACAUUCUAAAUCCUUUAACGAGGAUCAACGAUAGAGCAAGCCUAGUGCCAGCAGUCGCGGUAACCCUAGCUAUCGUAGUAUAUAUUAAAGUUGCUGUGUUUAAAAAGCUCGUAGUUGGAUCUGAGUUCCAGACGGGCGUUCCGCCUUGCGGCGGCAAACGCUCGUGCUGAACAACCCGUCGGUUUCCUCGGGUGAUCUUCACCGGUUGUCCGGGGCGACCGUCGAAUUUACUUUGAAGAAAUCAAAGUGCUCAAAGCAGGCUCCACGCCUGAAUAGUAGUGCAUGGAAUAAUGGAACAGGACCUCGGUGCUGUUUCGUUGGUUUUCUGAACCUGAGGUAAUGAUUAAGAGGGACGAUCGGGGUCAUGAGUACUACACAGCUAGGGGUGAAAUCCAGUGACCUGUGUAUGACUGACUGCAGCGAAAGCGCUUGACAAGUGCGUUUUCAUUAAUCAAGAACGAAAGUUUGGGGCUCGAAGGCGAUCAGAUACCGCCCUAGUCUGAACUAUAAACGAUGCCAACCAGCGAUCCGCCUGAGUUCCUCAAAUGACUCGGCGGGCAGCUUCCGGGAAACCACAGUUGGGUUCCGGGGGGAAUAUGGUUGCAAAACUGGAACUUGAAGGAAUUGACGGAGAGGCACUACAAGGAAUGGAUCGUGCGGCUUAAUUCGACUCAACACGCGGAACCUCACUAUGCCAGGACACAUUCAGGAUUGACAGAUUGAUAGCUCUUUCUCGAUUAUGUGCAUUGUGGUGCAUGGUCGUCUUUAGUUGGUGGAAUGAUUUGUCUGGUUUAUUUCGAUAACGAGCGAGACCCUGACCUGCUAAAUAGGCUGUCCGGUCCAAGGUGCCGGCAGUUUUCUUAGAGGGAUACCCGGCGCUCAGCCGGAAGAGAGAGGGCAACGACAGGUCUGGAAUGCCCGGUGAUGCCAUAGGCAGCACGCGCGAUACCAUGAGGAAAUCGGCGUGUGAUACCCCGGUCAGGUAUGGCCGGGUAACCCAAUGAACUUUCUUCGUGAUUGGGACAGGGGCUUGAAAUUGUUCCCCUCGAACGAGGAAUUCCUAGUAAGCCUGGGUCAUUAAGCCGUGUUGAUUCUGUCCCUGCCUCUUGUCCACACCGCCCGUCGCUAUCUUCGAUUGAACGGGUUAGUGAGGCCUUCGGACUGGCGCUCGGGGUGGCCUCGCGGUCGCUUCCGAGUGCCGGAAAGACGGUCGAACUUGUC
rnacentral:rRNA from 1 species